rnacentral:misc_RNA from 1 species
GAUGAAGAACGUAGCGAAAUGCGAUAAGUAAUGUGAAUUGCAGAAUUCAGUGAAUCAUCGAAUCUUUGAACGCACAUUGCGCCCGCCAGUAUUCUGGCGGGCAUGCCUGUUCGAGCGUCAUUACAACCCUCAGGCCCCCGGGCCUGGCGUUGGGGAUCGGCGGAGCCCCCCGUGGGCACACGCCGUCCCCCAAAUGCAGUGGCGGUCCCGCCGCAGCUUCCAUCGCGUAGUAGCUAACACCUCGCGACUGGAGAGCGGCGCGGCCACGCCGGAAAACACCCAACUCUUCUGAAGUUGACCUCGAAUCAGGUAGGAAUACCCGCUGAACUUAAGCAUAUCAAUAAGCGGAGGA